AUACGUAGGGUGCAAGCGUUAAUCGGAAUUACUGGGCGUAAAGCGUGCGUAGGUGGUUGUUUAAGUCUGUCGUGAAAGCCCUGGGCUCAACCUGGGAAUGGCGAUGGAAACUGGGCGACUAGAGUGUGGCAGAGGGUAGUGGAAUUCCUGGUGUAGCAGUGAAAUGCGUAGAGAUCAGGAGGAACAUCCGUGGCGAAGGCGACUGCCUGGGCCAACACUGACACUGAGGCACGAAAGCGUGGGGAGCAAACAGGAUUAGAUGCCCUGGUAGUCCACGCCCUAAACGAUGCGAACUGGAUGUUGGGUGCAAUUUGGCACGCAGUAUCGAAGCUAACGCGUUAAGUUCGCCGCCUGGGGAGUACGGUCGCAAGACUGAAACUCAAAGGAAUUGACGGGG
rnacentral:rRNA from 1 species